rnacentral:rRNA from 1 species
ACCUGGUUGAUCCUGCCAGUAGUCAUAUGCUUGUCUCAAAGAUUAAGCCAUGCAUGUAUAAGUAUAAAUUUGUUUAUGGUGAAACUGCGAAUGGCUCAUUACAACGGUUAUAGUUUACUUGAGAUAUAACUACUGGAUAACCGUAGUAACUCUAGAGCUAAUACAUUUAUCGGGACGUUAGUCUCGUGUUUAUUAGAUUUCACCGAACAGAUUUUUCUGUUGGGGUGUCAUGAUAAAUUAACGAAUCGUUUUUACGAUGCUUCAAACAAGUUUCCGUCCCAUCAGUUUGUUGGUUGUGUAUUGGACUACCAAAACACUUACGGGUAACGAGGAAUUGGGGUUCGAUUUCGGAGAGGGAGUCUGAGAAACGGCUACCACAUCUACGGAAGGCAGCAGGCGCGCAAAUUACCCAAUGUAAAUAUGUAUGAGGUAAUGACAAGAAAUAUCAAAGCGAACUUAUGUUUGCUAUUGAAAUGGGUAAAAUUUAAACAAUUUUACUAGGA